AGUGAACGCUGGCGGUAGGCCUAACACAUGCCAGUCGAACGGCAGCACAGUAAGAGCUUGCUCUUACGGGUGGCGAGUGGCGGACGGGUGAGGAAUACAUCGGGAUCUACUUUUUCGUGGGGGAUAACGUAGGGAAACUUACGCUAAUACCGCAUACGACCUACGGGUGAAAGCAGGGGAUCUUCGGACCUUGCGCGAUUGAAUGAGCCGAUGUCGGAUUAGCUAGUUGGCGGGGUAAAGGCCCACCAAGGCGACGAUCCGUAGCUGGUCUGAGAGGAUGAUCAGCCACACUGGAACUGAGACACGGUCCAGACUCCUACGGGAGGCAGCAGUGGGGAAUAUUGGACAAUGGGCGCAAGCCUGAUCCAGCCAUACCGCGUGGGUGAAGAAGGCCUUCGGGUUGUAAAGCCCUUUUGUUGGGAAAGAAAAGCAGCAGGUUAAUACCCCGCUGUUCUGACGGUACCCAAAGAAUAAGCACCGGCUAACUUCGUG
rnacentral:rRNA from 1 species